UUUCGAUUUUUAUGAUUAAUUUGCAAAUUUUCACAUUUUCAUCAUACCACGCAUCUGGACAUUCAUUUGUUUAAACAAUCAUCGCAAAUGAUAUAUACAGUAAAAAUACAUAUUUCAUGUACGAUAUGAUUUGAACAUUUUUUUGCUCUAUGUAAAGAUGGUACAUUUAUUGUACGUAUCUCCAUUAUUGUUAAAAUCUCAAGCAUAGCAAUAAAUGCAAAAAUUAUCGAAUUUUUAAGUACAAAAUAAAAGGCGCAUUAAUGAAUGUGAAAACAUUCGUCGAUGAAUACAUUUAAAACAAAACAUAUGACUUUCAUUAGAAUUCAAUCAUGAUUUGACCAACUUAAUUGGAUUAUUAAUAAUACAAUCGCCAUAAUUACUUACGUCAUUUACAAGCUCUACUUUCAUAUUUCCAUAAGUCAAUGUUUAGGCAGUUUAGGCUUUUUUCUACAAAUAUCUAAGAAAAUAGGGCUAAACCUCUCUUUUUUUUUUAUUCUGUACUAUUAAAAAUUUUGUCAGGCAAUGUAAAUCCGCUUUUGUAUUUACAAUAUGUCAUUUAUAAUAUGAUAUUGUUCAUUACUUUCGUAAUUCUUGCUAAUUAAAAAUGCUUACGGCUUUGUACGAUAAAAUGUAGUCGAAUUGAUUUUUU